GACAAUUUAAAAAGAGCAAAAACUUCCACUAGACCACUUUGUUGUAUGCCAGAAGAGUCAAAGAAACGGAAAUUGGAGUAUGGUUGUAUAAAUUCAGAACCCCAGUUGCCAAACAUGGGAUCAUGUUUGUGGGGCAGUGAUGUCGCUGCUUGCCCAUUUAAAAAAUGACCAAGACCAGUUUCUUGUGAUGGUAGAAGACACUUGUGUUCCAAAUGAUAUAUGCCCAGAGCAGCUUCCACCUACUCCAUGUAUAGUAGUGUGUGGAGAGAACCCACUGACAGCCAGUGUAUACAUGGUAGCGGUAGACCAAAUGAUUGUGAAUGACCAUCUCUUGAGUUUUACUGAGGCACUCUAUCUGAUGUUUUCCCUCUACUACAUAUUGAACAUCAGUUACCCUGUAGAACUGGGGGCCACACUAGAAUUCUUGCAAAGGUGCAUCUUCAGGAUAAAUCCACAUAAAGGUACCAAGGUGAAAAAGCGAGUGUACUCUGUCAACCCAAAAGUAUUGAGUCUCACAUCAAAAAUUGCUGCAUUUGACUGGGGAGACUAACAGAUGCAGCCAUUCAGAAAAGUGACAUUUGUCUCAGCAGUACAGGAUAAACUUUUUGUACUGUAACGCAUGCCUUUGUUCCUUUAAAAAUCUGUCUUAUUCCCCCAGGACAUGUUCUGUAUUAUUAGUAUCCAGGCCCGACAGGGUAAUAU